rnacentral:rRNA from 1 species
AUGACUCCCCUCCACUGGCAACUCCCCACGAUGCAGGGAACUCCCCUCCUAUUCCAUUGCCGCUCAAUCUGCCUCCCUCUGCCUCCCUCCUCAUUCCAUUGCUGCUCCAUCUUCCUCCCUCUGCCUCCACCAUCAAGCAACUCCCCUCUGCCUCCACCAUCGCUGGCCAGGAGGGCAAUGGCGGAGGAAUCAUGGAGCAACUCCCCUCCGUCUGCCAAGAGAAUGGCGGAGGCAUCAUGGAGCAACUCCCCUCCGUCUGCCAAGCAUCACCAAGGUGAGGUGUCUGGCAAGGAGCCGCUGGUGGUGGACGACGAUGUUCCGGUCCCCGGGCAGAAGCAGGACUACACCGUGCCGCUCAUGGUUGAUAUCCACCUGAAGAAGGAGAAGCUGGAUGCCGUAUGCACCAGCAAUCCAGACGAAGCCGACAAGAGGAUCCGCGAGAUCAGGAGGAGGCUUGGCGGCAUGCUUUCUCGGUCGAUCGCUGUUGAUGUCGAGUAUACGAGGGAAGAUGAACCUCCGCAAAAGGCUGCAGUUCUACAGUUAUGCGUGGAGGAUCUCGUCCUGGUAUACCACAUCACCGCGGCAACCAAAUGGUAA